CCUACGGGGGGCAGCAGUGAGGAAUAUUGGUCAAUGGCCGGAAGGCUGAACCAGCCAUGCCGCGUGAAGGUCAGUGCCCUAUGGGCGUUAAACUUCUUUUGUGCGGGAGCAAUAAUGGUCACGUGUGGCCAGACGAGAGUACCGUACGAAUAAGCAUCGGCUAACUCCGUGCCAGCAGCCGCGGUAAUACGGGGGAUGCAAGCGUUAUACGGGUUUAAUGGGUUUAAAGGGUGCGUAGGCUGUGAGGUAAGUCAGCGGUGAAAUGCCCCCGGUCAACGGGGUGAAGUGCCAUUGAUACUGCCUUGCUGGAAUGCGGAUGCGGUAGGAGGAAUGUGUGGUGUAGCGGUGAAAUGCGUAGAUAUCACACAGAACACCGAUUGCGAAGGCAUCUCACGAAUCCGCGAUUGACGCUGAUGCACGAAAGCGUGGGUAUCAAACAGGAUUAGAUACCCUUGUAGUC
rnacentral:rRNA from 1 species